rnacentral:rRNA from 1 species
CAAUAGCGUAUAUUAAAGUUGUUGCAGUUAAAAAGCUCGUAGUUGGAUUUCUGGUGGGAGCGAUCGGUCUGGCGCUUAGCGCGAGUACUUGCAUCGUCUCCGGCCAUCCUUGGGGAGAGUCUGUCUGGCAUUAGGUUGUCGGGCAGAGGAUCCUCAUCGUUUACUGUGAAAAAAUUAGAGUGUUCAAAGCAGGCUUAUGCCGUUGAAUAUAUUAGCAUGGAAUAAUAAGAUAGGACUUUGGUACUAUUUUGUUGGUUUGCGCACCAAAGUAAUGAUUAAUAGGGACAGUUGGGGGUAUUCGUAUUCCGUUGUCAGAGGUGAAAUUCUUGGAUUUACGGAAGACGAACUACUGCGAAAGCAUUUACCAAGGAUGUUUUCAUUAAU